AACGAACGCUGGCGGCAGGCUUAACACAUGCAAGUCGAGCGCCCCGCAAGGGGAGCGGCAGACGGGUGAGUAACGCGUGGGAAUCUACCCAUCUCUACGGAAUAACGCAUGGAAACGUGUGCUAAUACCGUAUACGUCCUUCGGGAGAAAGAUUUGUCGGAGAUGGAUGAGCCCGCGUUGGAUUAGCUAGUUGGUGGGGUAAAGGCCUACCAAGGCGACGAUCCAUAGCUGGUCUGAGAGGAUGAUCAGCCACACUGGGACUGAGACACGGCCCAGACUCCUACGGGAGGCAGCAGUGGGGAAUAUUGGACAAUGGGCGCAAGCCUGAUCCAGCCAUGCCGCGUGAGUGAUGAAGGCCCUAGGGUUGUAAAGCUCUUUCACCGGGGACGAUAAUGACGGUACCCGGAGAAGAAGCCCCGGCUAACUUCGUGCCAGCAGCCGCCGUAAGAC
rnacentral:rRNA from 1 species